rnacentral:rRNA from 1 species
CCUACGGGAGGCAGCAGUGGGGAAUUUUGGACAAUGGGCGAAAGCCUGAUCCAGCAAUGCCGCGUGAGUGAAGAAGGCCUUCGGGUUGUAAAGCUCUUUUGUCAGGGAAGAAACGGUGAGGGCUAAUAUCUCUUGCUAAUGACGGUACCUGAAGAAUAAGCACCGGCUAACUACGUGCCAGCAGCCGCGGUAAUACGUAGGGUGCAAGCGUUAAUCGGAAUUACUGGGCGUAAAGCGUGCGCAGGCGGUUUUGUAAGUCUGUCGUGAAAUCCCCGGGCUCAACCUGGGAAUUGCGAUGGAGACUGCAAGGCUAGAAUCUGGCAGAGGGGGGUAGAAUUCCACGUGUAGCAGUGAAAUGCGUAGAGAUGUGGAGGAACACCGAUGGCGAAGGCAGCCCCCUGGGUCAAGAUUGACGCUCAUGCACGAAAGCGUGGGGAGCAAACAGGAUUAGAUACCCUGGUAGUCCACGCCCUAAACGAUGUCUACUAGUUGUCGGGUUUUAAUUAACUUGGUAACGCAGCUAACGCGUGAAGUACGACCGCCGUCGGGAGGUACGGUCGCGAAGAAGUAAAACGUAACUAAAUAGAAGUUAGUACGGCGUGAGACGUAGACCGAACGGACGACCGACGAGGGGAGGGUUAGGGAGG